GACGAACGCUGGCGGCGUGCUUAACACAUGCAAGUCGAACGAAGUGGCGAACGGGUGAGUAAUACGUGAGUAACCUGCCCUCCUUUUUGGGAUAAGCCUUGGAAACGGGGGCUAAUACCGAAUAACGGGGGAUGGGCUCGCGGCCUAUCAGUUUGGUGGUGGGGUGAUGGACUGCCACGGCGGUGACGGGUUACCGGGCUGAGAGGGUGACCGGGCACAUUGGGACUGGGAAACGGCCCAGAGGCCGACGGGAGGGGGGAGUAGGGGAUAUUGCACAAAGGGCGAAAGCAUGAUGCAGCGACGCCGCGUGGGGGAUUAAGGCGUUCAGGUUGUAAACCUCUUUCGGUAUGGAACCGGUAGGUGGAGAAGAAGCGCCGGCUAACUACGUGCCAGCAGCCGCGGUAAUAC
rnacentral:rRNA from 1 species